GAUGAACGCUAGCGGCAGGCUUAACACAUGCAAGUCGAGCGGGGUUUUCGGACCUAGCGGCGGACGGGUGAGUAAUGCGUAGGAAGCUACCCGAUAGAGGGGGAUACCAGUUGGAAACGACUGUUAAUACCGCAUAAUGUCUACGGACCAAAGUGUGGGACCCUCGGGCCACAUGCUAUCGGAUGCGCCUACGUGGGAUUAGCUAGUUGGUGAGGGUAAUGGCUCACCAAGGCGACGAUCUCUAGCUGGUUCGAGAGGAUGAUCAGCCACACUGGAACUGAGACACGGUCCAGACUCCUACGGAGGCAGCAGUGGGGAAUAUUGGACAAUGGGCGCAAGCCUGAUCCAGCCAUGCCGCGUGUGUGAAGAAGGCCUCGGUUGUAAG
rnacentral:rRNA from 1 species